rnacentral:rRNA from 1 species
UACAGAGGGUGCGAGCGUUAAUCGGAAUUACUGGGCGUAAAGCGCACGUAGGUGGCGACGUAAGUCGGGUGUGAAAGCCCCGGGCUCAACCUGGGAAUUGUAUUCGAGACUGCAUUGCUGGAGUACGGAAGAGGAAGGCGGAAUUCCCGGUGUAGCGGUGAAAUGCGUAGAUAUCGGGAGGAACAUCAGUGGCGAAGGCGGCCUUCUGGUCCAGUACUGACACUCAAGUGCGAAAGCGUGGGGAGCAAACAGG